UCUCUCUCUCUCUCUCUCUGCGUAACACACACAGAUUGGUUCUUGAAGCUGUGACUCAAGAAAGCUUGGUGGCUUAAAUUUGCAGAUCUUGGGAAAUUAUUGCAAAAUCAAAGUGGAAAUAAAAGCGCUAGAAGCACCUUGAGAAAGGGAAUUGAUGAAUUUAAUGGCAAAAGCCAAAAAAGAUCCGAAAUUUCGCUUGCUUUUGGAGUAUGUCUGGUACCCCAGUACAGCAUACAGCAUUAAUGGACUCUAUCCAUCUUUUUUUCUUCACCCUUUCCUCUGGAUUUGUGCUAUUUUUCUUUUCUUGAAAGCUUUACUUUUUAGCUCACAGAAUCACAGACCCCCCACCAUUUCCUCCUCUUCAUACAUCAUUUUAAGCGCCUGAAAGAGCCCAUAUUCCAUCAUCUUGUAAUAUUCCCUUUUUUUCAAAAAAAAUAUAUAUUUUUUUAUUAUUAUUUUCCUCUUUUCUCGUUUCAAUGUGCUCAUGAAACUAUUGGUCGGCUUCUGAUUGAAAGCUACACAUGGGUUUGGCGUAGAAGUGACUUCAGGCCAUCAAGCUUUUUUCGCAUUCAAAAGAUUUGGA
rnacentral:misc_RNA from 1 species